rnacentral:lncRNA from 1 species
GUUAGGAUUUAUUUAGGAUUUAAGAUUUGGUUAGGGUUUAUUUAGGAUUUAAGAUUUGGUUUAGGAUUUAAGGUUUGGAUUAGGGUUUGAUUUAGAAUUUAUGAUUUGGAUUAGGAUUUGGUUAGGAUUUGAUAAAGGGUUUAGAAUUUGGAUUAGGAUUUGAUUUAGGAUUUAGGAUUUGAUUUAGGAUUUACGAUUUGGUUUAGGAUUUGGUUUAGGAUUUGGUUGGGAUUUGGUUUAAGGUUUAUUUAAGAUUUGAUUUAAGGUUUGUUUAGGGUUUGAUUUAGGGUUUAGGAUUUUAUUAGGAUUUAAGAUUCAAUUAGUUUUGGCCUAAAGAUUGAAUGAAGUUCUAUAGGAUUUUAACUUGAAUUAAAAAAAGAUUGAAUUGAGAUGUAUUUGAGUGAUAUUUGUGAUCCUUGUAAUAUUUCUUUAAGAAUUUUUAUUGUUUGUUUGAAAUUUCUUUGAGGUUUUUUUGAAUUUUAUUAAGCUUUUUUAGCAUUAUUAUGGUCUAAUUAGAGCAUUGUUAGU